UACGUAGGGUCCGAGCGUUGUCCGGAAUUAUUGGGCGUAAAGAGCUCGUAGGCGGUCCGUUAAGUCGGAAGUGAAAUCUCAAGGCUCAACCUUGAAAUCGCUUUCGAUACUGGCGGACUUGAGGCAGGUAGGGGAAGGUGGAAUUCCCGGUGUAGUGGUGAAAUGCGUAGAUAUCGGGAGGAACACCAGUGGCGAAGGCGACUUCCUGGCCUGUUCUUGACGCUGAGGCGCGAAAGCUAGGGUAGCAAACGGG
rnacentral:rRNA from 1 species